rnacentral:rRNA from 1 species
GACGAACGCUGGCGGCGUGCUUAACACAUACAAGUCGAACGAUGAAGCCGGAGCUUGCUCCGGUGGAUUAGUGGCGAACGGGUGAGUAACACGUGAGCAAUCUGCCCUUGACUCUGGGAUAACUGCGGGAAACUGUAGCUAAUACCGGAGACGACACCUUGGGGCAUCCCAGGGUGUGGAAAGACUUUCGGGCAAGGGUGAGCUCGCGGCCUAUCAGCUAGUUGGUGAGGUAAUGGCUCACCAAGGCGACGACGGGUAGCCGGCCUGAGAGGGUGACCGGCCACACUGGAACUGAGACACGGUCCAGACUCAUACGGGAGGCAGCAGUGGGGAAUAUUGCACAAUGGGCGAAAGCCUGAUGCAGCAACGACGCGUGAGGGAUAAAGGCCUUCGGGUUGUAAACCUCUUUUAGCAGGGAAGAAGCGAAAGUGACGGAACCUGCAGAAAAAGCACCGGCUAACUACGUGCCAGCCGCCGCCGUAA